CAGAGAACACUAUUUAUACACAUGACAGGAAGAGGGGAUGACAAGACACACCUGGGAGCAAUAGAAACCACAUAAGAAACACCUUGGACACAUUAACUGAAAACACGGGAGACAGAAACUGGAUCACAGAGCACAAUACAUGGGACAGAGUCUGACAGAAACCUUGUUAGUGAUAUAGAGGCAGUGUUUAACCACACUAUUAUGUCAUAUUCCAAAACCUGUCUUUUUGGCAGACUGGCUUCAAUAUAAGCUGUUUUUAGACUAAUGAGAAAGUUUUGAGUUCUAAAACUACAUAAUGUUUUUAUAGCACAAUGACCAUUUAUAACAUGAUUCAUUGGACCAGGCAACCUUCUUCCAUUGCUCCAUGGUCCAGUUCUGAUGCUCACAUCGCCAUUGAGACUUUCAGACAACUCUUCUUUUUCUUUUACUACAAAAACUUUGAAUUGUUAAGCUUUGGUCAUUAAAGAGUUUUAGGAUGACUAGCGUUCUAUGGCAGAACACAGCCAGUCAUGUGUGCAUGAAGAAAUCAAACAAAGAUAAGAGCUUGUCGCAUAAGCUCAACAGCCUCCAUUCAGCUGUUGAGAAAGAGCCACGAUGAACUUACAAUGGCACCUCAGCUUUGCCUUAAUGUGCUUGUAUGUGUGGGGUGGGAUAUUUCAGCCGGAUCACCUCACUGAAAAGUGGAACAAUUGUGAAGGACACUUUAACAAGGGAUGGACCCAUCUUCGACCACUUCUUAAAAAAGCUUCUGUGGACUUAUUUUGUAGAUGUAAUGAAAAGAAAUGUAUUUCCAUUGCUAUUUUUCCAACCUUAAAAUAUGUGCCAGUUUUUUGGGCAUAUAAAAUAAGACAUACUGGAGUCCCUGAUUUGUCAGAGCAUGAUCUCUUGAAGAAUAUCACAACUUGGUACAUAUCACCAUCGGUUGUUGAGGAUAUGCUCAGAGGAAAGUUGCAUUCAUUCCCUCCUCAAGUGACCUCGAGACCCUCCCCAUCAACAACACAUAUUUUAAGUGGUGUGUUUCAUCUCAGUGAGAAAUACAUUCACAAAGAGGGAAACUGGCACUACACAGGCUACAUUCGCUGGACCAUGUAUCACCACACAAAUGUUAAAGGGCUAAGUUUUGAAGGAGCUCUUGUCCAAAACAGUCAGGAGAAAUGUAAGUGGAAAUGGCUGACAGUGAAGCAACUUGUCGGGAUUCUUUCUAAAGUCUUUUUGGCCAACCCCAUGCAAACCUUCUUCAAUCAUCAAAUCACAGGACCUUUAAACCUGAACGGCUUAGAUGAAUUUCCAGACAGCUUUUCCGUAGGGGAAAAGAUAGAGGACCUCCUAGACACCGCAAUGCCAUGUGUGACGACAACAACAAUGGAAGUCAAAGAAGCAGAACGUGACUUUUCCAAAUUCACAACAAGCAGCAACCCCCCCCUAACUUCAGAUAUGAUUGCAGGCCUGUGCUCUGUGCUCAUUCACCGUACUAGCACUGGUUUGAAGAGAUGCCUUAAGAGGAUGAUAGAAAAAGAAAACUACACCACUACUCUUUAACGCUCUCGUAUUUCUCUGCUAGCAACAAACCAUGUAAUGCCAGAUCGGAAAUCCAAAAACAGAGCCCUCUUAAACUAAAUGAAAUCAUUAAUCACAGUAAAAAUACAUCACAUAUUAGAGGCAAAACAUUUUAUAGUGAAGGACAGUUUCACCAAAAGAAACUUUCUGAAAAUAUUUUUGCUCUGUUCAAUUCUGUAUUUAUUUACAGUAGCCUAUAUUAUUUAUUUGACCAGUUGCUUAUAUGAAAGCCAUUUGGUAAAUGUUUUUAAUUUUGCCUUGCUUAUAAAUCAGUGUUCAUUGCCUUGUAAAUAAAUAUAUCUAAACAUCCUUAAAACACUAUACAUUUUCUUAACAAGCAAAGCUGUCUCUUGUUCUCUUUAAAUAAUUCUUUCGUCAAUCAUAAAUAGUUAUUCUAAUGAAAAAAAAAAACCCCAUCACAUUACAAAAUUAAAAUGGGUUGUUGUUGCCGUUUCAUGUUGACUUUAACAUUUAAUAAUGAUUGAGGAUCAUUUUCACAGCAGUUAUAUUGAAAAUGAUGCUCCUUUUAGUUCAUUAGAAUUAAUUAUGGGUGUGUGUCGAUUCUAGUUCUGCUUAGUUUGCAUGACCUACAAUAAAUUUCCAUAUUAAAAUAAGCUGGAACUGUAAUUCUGAGGUGUGUGUUGAUAUGGGUAAAAUUAUAGCCACCAGUUGCAGUGUAGUGAAUGCCUUGUGUCUUAUCAUAUGUAUAUAGUAAAACCCAGAGACUCAGAUAAAACAAUGAUAAGCACACGGUGUGACCUUCCUGUAUAAUGUCCUGAAGCAGCAAACGAAAUGUUGCUGGAGCCUAUGGCGUGAUGAGGUUAUGGUGGUUGUCAUUGUCUCUCCUUACUGUAGUUCCUAUGCAUUUGCAACUGCAGAAAACAUUUAGGACUCCAGAUAGUACUCCAUGUCAAGAAAUACUGUGCCAGGACUGGCCUUUCCUUCAGUCUGUUCUUAGAAAACAUGGCUACAUGUGCAGAUGCUUUAUAGUAAAGUGUGUCUACAUUGCAGAAGUGCGCAGGAUCAAACAUAUGCCAUGCAAUUGGGUUUACAGAGGACAUCAUAAAGAGAAAAUACAGACUGCAGUUUUACCACCAAAGGUAAGCUAUAAUGGUUUACAAGAAUUAAAAUAGCAAUUUAGUAUAAUAUUUAUUUGAUGCAAUGAGAAGAUUAAAUAGUCUCAAUUUUGGUUACAUUUUAAAAUAUUGUUUUUAUUUAUAUAUUUUUUGUUAUUGUCUGCAAGAAAACAGUAAUAAGGAAAGAUUCAGCAUUUAGCUGAAAUACUGAUUAUAUUACAUGCUAUAUUUUAUUAUUCUAAACACAAGGAAAAUUCAAUUGAAAUCACAUAAACAGUACAGAAGAAAACAAAAUACAUAAAAUCCCAGUAAUUACACACCAUCUAUUAACAAGAGAUUGAAAUCAGUAUUUGUUUUGUGUUUACGAAAGUUUUUUUUUUUUUUAGUGCUGCACUAAUACCAUUGAGAAAAAAAAGACCCAAACUCUCACUGUAUUUUCUUGACAGCUUAUUA
ensembl:lncRNA